rnacentral:rRNA from 1 species
GACGAAGGGUCCUAGCGUUGCUCGGAAUUACUGGGCGUAAAGCGCACGUAGGCGGCUUUCUAAGUCGGGGGUGAAAUCCUGGAGCUCAACUCCAGAACUGCCUUCGAUACUGGAGAGCUUGAGUCCGGGAGAGGUGAGUGGAACUGCGAGUGUAGAGGUGAAAUUCGUAGAUAUUCGCAAGAACACCAGUGGCGAAGGCGGCUCACUGGCCCGGUACUGACGCUGAGGUGCGAAAGCGUGGGGAGCAAACAGG